CUUGAACAAAACGGUUACAUUUGAGGAACUGGAAAACUUCACAAAGAAAAUGAAUUUUAUUAUAAAGAAGUUUCGCAGGUGGUUGGACUCAUUCUUCUGACUUUAGCAUUAUUAGUUGCGUGUUUGUAUCACUGGUGCUGUGCUAAAACAGCAUUGCAUGACAAAUACACUGAAGACCCGAAACAUUGCUUUCAAUAAAAUGUUUGACGAGCUCCUAAGAACCUCAGCCAAAAAGAAGUUGCUGAAUGGGAAAUUAAAAUAUAUGAUGAAGAUGAUAGCGAAGGACAAAGUGAAAAAUAAACAAAAUAUAUGAUGAAGAUAACAGCAAAGGACCAAGUAAAAAAACAAAACAAAAAUACUUAAAGCUGGUAUUACCAUGAGUAAGGUUCAAGACAAAUACAAGGAAAUUUCAGGCGCUUUAAAUCCAAAUAAAAAGCUACGGAAUCUGAGGAUAAACCAAAUGAAGAAACAAACAGCACAGGUGAUACUCCAAAUGAAAGUACUCCACUUCUGGAAAUAAAACCAAAGUCUGAAGAAGCAGUGCAGUCAUGACAUGUUGUAUAAGAUUUGAAGAUGAAUACAAGCUGAGAAAAUGAAAAACAAUAUUACUGAUCUGGUAGAAAACAACAUUUUGUGAGUGUAAGCUGUCCUCAAUAAAAUAAAUUCAUUGCUUAGAAGAAGAUGGCGAUGCCAGUACUUUUCUCACAGAUUUCUUCAUUGGAAUGGUUACAAGUUCAAGACAAAA